UACAGAGGGUGCGAGCGUUAAUCGGAAUUACUGGGCGUAAAGCGAGCGUAGUCGGUUAUUUAAGUCGGGUGUGAAAUCCCCGGGCUCAACCUGGGAAUUGCAUUCGAUACUGGAUAGCUAGAGUUCGGCAGAGGGAAGCGGAAUUUCCGGUGUAGCGGUGAAAUGCGUAGGUAUCGGAAGGAACAUCAGUGGCGAAAGCGGCUUCCUGGACCAGAACUGACGAUCAGGCUCGAAAGCGUGGGGAGCAAACAGG
rnacentral:rRNA from 1 species